rnacentral:lncRNA from 7 species
CUAUGCUAGCUUACAAAAAACAAACAAAAGACAAAACAAAACAAAAAAACAAGAAACAAAUUGAAGCAGAUGCAACUACGCAGAUCAUUCAGAAAUCACGUUGUUUUAGUUGCUUUUUGGUUUUUGGUUUUGUUUUCCGGAAAAUAUGGUCAGCAUCUUUUGAAGAUAAUACCAAAGAUGACUUUUGAAUCUACAGAUGCUCAUUCUAAACUAAGAGUUCUGUAUGGUUAGCUCAGUGCACAUGUUGAAAAUCAUGAUUAUGAUUGUUGAAGAAUGAUGUUUUUGAACAGUUUGCAAGUCACUGUGGAAUUCAGCUAAUAUCUGAAGAGCUUCAACUGCUUACAAAGAGAGAUGGUCUUAAAUAUAUCCCAUCAGCCUUCAAUCCUACAAGAAAUGCACUGGUGGAAAAAAUUAUGUAUUACAGCAAGUAUUUCAAAUGAUGACUAAUAACAAAGUCUACAGCACAUAAUUGGAAAUAUACUGCCUUCCCAUGAGCUUGCAGAUGUUUUAUAUGCCAGAGCUGAAGAUCUCUUCAUGAUAGGUUAUAGCUGUCUCACUGAUAAACUAAUCAGCUGAGAAGAGAUAGCAGAAACCUGGAGACAGUGAUGUUUCUUCAAGACAGUCUGUGAUUCUCCAUACAUCAUGAAAUACAAGAGAGAGCAAUGCGUUCUGGAUAAGUUUCAAGAAAGCUUCCAAACACAAAUUAUACUAAAUACCAAUAAUUAUACAUGCCUCCUGUGCAACAAAGGGCAGCCAGUGCCAUAGACUAAUGCUAGUGUGCUGUUUGUCUCUGUUCCUACAAGGUACUUCAAGUGUGAUUCCAGCAGUCCAUAGAUGGAUGAUUUUGCUAUGAAAAGAGGCCGGAGCGCUCAUUGUUCCACAUGUCUUUAUGAACUAUCUGUAAAGCAUUAUCCAGAGGGAAUCCAUAAGACUUCAUUUGUACAAUGCUGUAUAUUUAAUGACAGCAAUGCAUUUUAAUGUUCCAAAUGUCCAUUUAUGCUCAAGAGCGGAAUGCCAUGAAAAGAAAAUAGCUCCUUGAGCAGCACAGAGCAGCGGACCAACAAAGUGUCUUCCAAGAACAACUUUAUUGUCUUUCAAUAGUUGUCUAAGCUGGAAGUCUGGAAACUUUUGUGUGACUCUCUUGAUGAUUUUAAUUCAGAUAAGUUCAUCUUCAGCCUCAAUCACUUCUUCACCUCCACCAAUUAAAUCUAAGGAAAAUUAUUACAAAUGUGGCUGAAAUUGAUUCGAAAGUUAUUGUGGAUGCACAAGUAACCAUUUCUGAAAGAAAACUGGUUAAAAUAACAUUGUUCUGCUAAAAGAUGUUUCAGUCUGCAGGUACUUCAAUCUGUAGCAUUCAAUGAAGGGAAUAAGAUAUUCUCUACCAUCAUUACAGCUUUCAGCAUCCAGCCCACAUGAAUACAUGGCCCUGUAUAUAACUGAGCAAGCCGAAGAAAGCAUUUGAUACAUGUUCCCAUCAAAGCUGUGUGCUUUAUGUGUGCUGCCUCAAGCCUGCAGUACCAGCACUGGACACCACACCUUUUGGAAGUACAAAUACAGUGCAGGCAGCUGUUGUAGAAGCUUCCCUGUGCAGCUCUGGAAAUGACUUUUUCUUCAACUAAGGACGUUCUCAAUCUCGAAGGGAAAAAAAUAGAAUAAAUGGGCAUCUUUACACUGAAAGUAAAUUCUCCAGACAUCCAGGAAUUAUUUCCUCACUGGGCAACUGGUCUAUCUAUUUUCCUAGCCAUAUUAUACUUCUCCUCUAGCUCUCCUUCAGAUGGUGUAUGCAUGUGAAUGAGCUAUAUGUGAAGACGAACAGGACCCAGGCGUGCUCACCUGCUGAACAAACCUCUGGUCUUCAGAAGGAACUAGUGCCAUCUGCUGAAGAAGGAAUGCCCUCUACUGCUCGGUUACAGAGCUGCGCCGUAGCAAAAGAAAGCUGCUCGAAAACCAGGUGUGACAUGGGCUGAAACGAAGCUUUGAGAAGCAGAUGAUUACUGGACAUAAUAAUUACAGUAUCAACAACAACAACGUUUGCUUAUACUGUCUGCCUCAGAACUCUUAGGAGAUAUUAAACCAUACGUAUAAAACUGAAUGCUCUUUUAAAGCUGCGUUUCUAUCUGCAUCAUUGUUUGUUUAUUGCGAUAUAUCUUCGUAACACGGCCCCAAACUUCUCAUUUCAAACAAAUGCAUAAAAUCAAGAUUAAUAUUUUCUUUGUAAUGCUUGGAUGCUUAGCACCUUGAUUUUUAAAAAGGCCAGUGUUACUGCUUUCAGAGAUUGUUCUGGCAUUCAUUUUGCUUUAUCUAUCCAACAGUUCUCAAAUUUAAUAUAUUUUCUCUUAC